CAGUUCUUCUUUAGUAGCUACAAUAUCUAUGACGUUGAUUCGAAUUAUUUCGUAGAUAUUGUAGUUACUGGAGAAUUAUCU